GACGUAGGGUGCGAGCGUUGUCCGGAAUUAUUGGGCGUAAAGAGCUUGUAGGCGGUUUGUCGCGUCUGCUGUGAAAAUCCGAGGCUCAACCUCGGACUUGCAGUGGGUACGGGCAGACUAGAGUGUGGUAGGGGAGACUGGAAUUCCUGGUGUAGCGGUGGAAUGCGCAGAUAUCAGGAGGAACACCGAUGGCGAAGGCAGGUCUCUGGGCCAUUACUGACACUGAGAAGCGAAAGCAUGGGGAGCGAACAGG
rnacentral:rRNA from 1 species